UUUUAAAUGUUCAGUUCCACAAGCAGAUGUAUUUGCUAGGUCAUAAAAUAGGAGAUGCAAAUUCUCAAUAUCAUAGUUUUUCUUAAUCUAUUUAUAUAAAACCAAAUAUUUUAUAAAAUUUUGAAAAAAAAAAUUAACCCAGUCUUAAAUAGAGCCCAUCCUUCAGCUCCCUGGGCCUCUGAUGGGUCUUCCUGUGGGUUAACUGUGUGCCUAGCACAGAGCUACACCCCCUGCAGGAGCCUCCUUCCCUUCGUUUAUCAGUGUCUGAGCCCUGAAGUUUUGUGAGUUUUAUUUUUUUUCCUCACAUCCAACAGUAACCAUCUGUGUCCAUUUUUUAAAUUGAUGAAUCUGCCCUCAAAGUUAUGUUUGAAAGGAUUUGUGGAUUAUGUUUUGUCGUGUGAUAAAUGUACAUAAAGCAUAUCAUUUUCCAAUACAGAAAAAUUUAUUUUCCUAAAUUCAAUGGUUUGGUUUUCACUGACAUAAAUUUUAAUCUUCCUCUAAAGCAGAAAAAAUCUAACCUUAAUUAGGAAAAAGUUUUCUGUUUAGUUUGAUGUGAAGUCCAUGUUAAUAUAAACUAUGUAGUACUUAAAAGAAAUUAGUUAGGACAUGAUAUUCAAGACUUAUUUAUAAGCGUCAAAGAAAAAACUUAAAUGUUUAUUUUAUGAAAAGUAUUUACUAGCUCUUCAGCAGCCUCCCUGAUCAUCAUUCCUCUAGGUUUUCAGCAGUAAUACAUCCAACCCUAGCCCCUGCUCCAGGACCACAGCG
rnacentral:lncRNA from 1 species